rnacentral:rRNA from 1 species
AGGCCAAUCAAACUGGGAGAUAGCUCGUACUCCCCGAAAUGCAUUUAGGUGCAGCCUCGGAAUGUAAGUGUUAUAGAGGUAGAGCUACCGAUUGGACUAGGGGGCUUCACCGCCUACCAAAUCCUGACGAACUCCGAAUGCUAUAACACAUGUCCGGGAGUGAGGCGCGGGGUGCUAAGGUCACGCGCCGAAAGGGAAACAACCCAGAUUAUCAGCUAAGGCCUCUAAAUCUACAUUAAGUUGUUUAAACGAUGUUUGGUUGCUAUGACAGCUAGGAUGUUUGCUUGGAAGCAGCAAUUCAUUUAAAGAGUGCGUAACAGCUCACUAGUCGAGUGACCGAGCGCGGAAAAUAAUCGGGCAUCAAAUGUAGUGCCGAAGCUAUAGGAUCCCACAAGAGUGGAGAUCGGUAGGGGAGCAUUCUGACCUGCGUCGAAGGCGAUUCGUAAGGAUCUCUGGAGCGGUCAGAAAAGAAAAUGUAGGCAUAAGUAACGAUAAAUAAAAUGAAAAAUUUUAUCGCCGUAAGUCUAAGGAUUCCUGAUCAACGCUAAUCGAAUCAGGGUUAGUCGGGUCCUAAGGUGUAACCCGAGAGGGGCAACCGAUGGAAAGCUGGUUAAUAUUCCAGCACCUGCUUAUAUUGCGAUGGGGUGACGAAGGUGUGAAAGUACCGCGGGGUUACGGAAUAUCCCGUUAAAGCGUGUAGAUGUAGAUGGAGUAGGCAAAUCCGCUCUUGAAUCGAACGUGAUAGUACUCAAGGUUUUCGAACUGAGAGAUAGUGUACCUAAUCAGACUUCCUAGAAAAACCUCUAAGCUUCAGGUAUAAGCAGCCCGUACCGUAAACCGACACAGGUAGACGAGGAGAGUAUCCUCAGGCGCUCGAGUGAGUCACGGCUAAGGAACUCGGCAAAAUGGACCCGUAACUUCGGGAGAAGGGUCGCCCCAGCAAUGGGGCCGCAGUGAAAAGUAUCAGGCGACUGUUUAACAAAAACACAGGGCUCUGCAAAAUCGAAAGAUGAAGUAUAGGGCCUGACACCUGCCCGGUGCUGGAAGGUUAAGGAAGGUUGUUAGCCGCAAGGCAAAGCUUCCGACUGAAGCCCCAGUAAACGGCGGCCGUAACUAUAACGGUCCUAAGGUAGCGAAAUUCCUUGUCGGGUAAGUUCCGACCUGCACGAAUGGUGUAACGAUCUGAUAACUGUCUCAGCCGUGAGCUCGGUGAAAUUGUAGUCCCGGUGAAGAUGCCGGGUACCCGUAACGGGACGGAAAGACCCCGUGAACCUUCACUACAACUUUGCAUUGACUUUGAGUAAACGAUGUGUAGGAUAGGUGGGAGACUUUGAAGCGGGCACGCUAGUGUUCGUGGAGUCAACGUUGAAAUACCACCCUUUGUUUACUUAGAGCCUAACUCCGCAAUCGGAGGAAAGUGCAUGGUGGGUAGUUUGACUGGGGUGGUCGCCUCCAAAAGAGUAACGGAGGCUUUCAAAGGUAUGCUCAGUACGCUUGGUAACCGUACGUAGAGUGCAAUAGCAUAAGCAUGCUUGACUGUGAGACCAACAAGUCGAGCAGGGUCGAAAGACGGAUAUAGUGAUCCGGUGGUUCCGCAUGGAAGGGCCAUCGCUCAAAGGAUAAAAGGUAC